CCAUACUUGGCUAAAGAUUUUCCUCAUAUUUGGCUACCAAUGUUGCAUUAUAUUCCCACAUGCAGAAUGAAAAUUAGAAAGGAAAGCUUGCUUUUUCCCAGCAAAAAAAAUGAAAAGCUUGCUUGCCUUUUCUUGACAAAUUUUCACUUAAUUUAAAUCAAGCCCGUAAAAUACAAGAAAAUAAAGGGAAAAUAAAGGAAAAAAAACAAGCAGCAAGAACGACGCUUGAUUCAUGGUACCCAUAAUGCUGACCGUGACUGCAUCAAUAUCAUCUCUUUCUCCACCAUCUACUCGGAUAAAGCCACCAAUCCUGCAUCAUUUCCCUUUCCGAUUGUUUUCUUCAUAGAAAAACCCGUCGAAUCAAGAUGAUAAAUCAAGAAACAAAAGAAAAGAAUAAAGAAUCAAGACCCGAGAAGCUAGAACCCUCCAAGAGUCCAAGAAAACCCUAGCCGGAGCAACAAACCUAUAAUUUCCACCGUACGAAAUCAAUACAACAAGUGAAACAAGAACCAAAACCCUAGGAGUACCAAGACUCAAACCCCUAGGAGGACCAAGAAUCAAAACCCUAGGAGGACCAAGAAACGCACAGAAAAAGAAGGAAAAGAAAGAAUGGAGGGAGGGAGGAAGAGGGAGGAGGAGAGACCGAGAAAAAGGUAGUUCUAGUCGGCGAACCAGUUGUAGAGCACUGCAAUCUUGACUCAAGGGCGGCUAUACCUCUCGUCCACCGCUCCGUUAGG
rnacentral:lncRNA from 1 species